ACCCGCUGAACUUAAGCAUAUCAGUAAGCGGAGGAAAAGAAACUAACUAGGAUUCCCCGAGUAGCGGCGAGCGAAAGGGGAGAAGCCCAGCGCCGAAGCCCGCGGCCUCUGGUCGCAGUGCAAUGUGGCGUUUCGGUGGCGACUCGUCGCGCUGACUCUGGCACGCGUACCUCUGAAUGGGUCUGCCCGCAGCGGGUGUCAGGCCUCUACUUGCCAAACGAGUCGGUGUGGCCCGUCGUCAUCGCGGAGUCGGGUUGCUUGAGAGUGCAGCCCAAAGUGGGUGGUAAGCUCCAUCUAAGGCUAAAUACCUAGUGCGAGACCGAUAGCAAACAAGUACCGUGAGGGAAAGUUGCAAAGAACUUUGAAAAGAGAGUUCAAGAGUACGUGAAACCGUUCAGAGGCAAACGGACGGAACUGGGCGAGUUCGUCGUCGUCAUUCAGCCGUCGCGUUCGCGCGCGACGGUGCACUUGGCGGCGACGGAGCGCGACGACCGCCUGUCGAGUCGUCAGAAGCCCGGCGGCAAGGUGGCGACGCGCUUGCGCGUCGUGUUACAGGCCGCCGACGCGUUGACCGACUUGGCGGGCGAGGAGCGCCUGCGGUGCACUCACCUCUCGCGUGAGCAACCCGUCGCGGUGGGCUUGCGGACGCCGGUGGCGAACUGCUUGCAGUUCGUCGUCGCGCGCUCUGUCUGUCGCGUCGUGCGGUGUUGCGAUGCACCCAGGGUCCGGGUCGCGUGGUUCCCGGCACUCCGUCCGACCCGUCUUGAAACACGGACCAAGGAGUUGAGCACGCGCGCGAGUCGAUGGGCUCUCCGAACCCCAGUGGCGUAGCUAAGGCAAAACGGGCGUGAUCCGGGCACUCGUGUGCCCGGCGCAACGCCGGCCCGCAGCCGACUCGACGCGAGUAGCUGCGGCGCAAGAGCGCGUGUGCUCAGACCCGAAAGGUGGUGAACUAUGCUUGAGCAGGGCGAAGCCAGAGGAAACUCUGGUGGAGGCUCGCAGCGAUCCUGACGUGCAAAUCGGUCGUCAAACUUGAGCAUAGGGGCGAAAGACUAAUCGAACCGCCUAGUAGCUGGUUCCCUCCGAAGUUUCCCUCAGGAUAGCUGGCACUCGGGAUCAAUGGUUUUAUCCGGUAAAGCGAAUGAUUAGAGGCAUUGGGGACGAAACGUCCUCAACCUAUUCUCAAACUUUAAAUGGGUAAGAAGCGCGACCCUUCCUGACCGGGGUCGCGUGCUCGAACAGAGAGUGCCCAGUGGGCCGUUUUUGGUAAGCAGAACUGGCGCUGUGGGAUGAACCAAACGCGCGGUUAGGGUGCCAAACGCACGCUCAUGAGAUACCACAAAAGGUGUUGGUUGAUAUAGACAGCAGGACGGUGGCCAUGGAAGUCGGAAUCCGCUAAGGAGUGUGUAACAACUCACCUGCCGAAUCAACUAGCCCUGAAAAUGGAUGGCGCUGGAGCGUGCGACCCAUACCGCGCCGUCGGGGCAACGCGUGCGAAAUGCCAGGCCCCGACGAGUAGGAGGGCGUGUCGGUGGCGUUGAAGCGUUGUGCGCGAGCACGCGUGGAGCCGCCUUCAGUGCAGAUCUUGGUGGUAGUAGCAAGUAUACAAAUGAGAACUUUGUAGACCGAAGUGGAGAAGGGUUCCAUGUGAACAGCAGUUGGACAUGGGUCAGUCGGCCCUAAGAGAUCGGAAAAUUCCGUUCUGAACGGGGGAGGCGCGCGCGACGUCUGACCGUCACUCGAGACACAGAGCGUCUUCUUAUAUAUGUAUAGCGUGCGUGACGUCCCCCGAUGCGAUCGAAAGGGAAUCGGGUUAAUAUUCCCGAACCUGGCAGCGGAGAUUGGGCCCUCGGGCCCCAGUGCGGUAACGCAACCGAACUCGGAGACGCCAGCGUCGAUCCCGGGAAGAGUUCUCUUUUCUUUGUUAGGAGCGGACUCCCUGGAAUUGGCUUGUCCAGAGAUAGGGACGUUGCAUCCGUAAAGCGUCGCGCCUCACGCGGCGUCCGGUGCAUCGGCGUUGGCCCUUGAAAAUCCGAGGGAGGCAGUGUAAUUUUCGCUCCAGGCCGUACCCGAAUCCGCAGCAGGUCUCCAAGGUGAACAGCCUCUGGUCGAUAGAACAAUGUAGGUAAGGGAAGUCGGCAAAUCCGAUCCGUAACUUCGGGAUAAGGAUUGGCUCUGAGGUGCGGGCUGUUUCGGGUCGCGGCAAGAAGCGGACCGCGCGUUGGUAGGACUGGACGCGCUCGUCGCGUUCGGACCGCCGCCAGCGCGCGUCCGUGGGAGGCCGUGGCUUUCGCCGGCGUCGGCCUCGCGUCGGCGUCGGCUUCGUUCGGCCUAAACGCACAGCACAGAACUGGCACGGACUCUGGGAACACGACUGUCUAAUUAAAACAAAGCAUCGCGAUGGCCGCUGGUCGGUGUUGACGCGAUGUGAUUUCUGCCCAGUGCUUUGAAUGUCAAAGUGAAGAAAUUCAACCAAGCGCAGGUAAACGGCGGGAGUAAC
rnacentral:rRNA from 1 species